rnacentral:rRNA from 1 species
UACGGGAGGCAGCAGUGAGGAAUAUUGGUCAAUGGUCGAGAGACUGAACCGGCCAAGUAGCGUGAAGGAUGACUGCCCUACGGGUUGUAAACUUCUUUUAUGCGGGAAUAAAGUGUGGCACGUGUGCCAUUUUGUAUGUACCGCAUGAAUAAGCAUCGGCUAAUUCCGUGCCAGCAGCCGCGGUAAU